AUUGAACGCUGGCGGCAGGCUUAACACAUGCAAGUCGAGCGGAGUGAUGGUGCUUGCACUAUCACUUAGCGGCGGACGGGUGAGUAAUGCUUAGGAAUCUGCCAUUAGUGGGGGACAACAUUCCGAAAGGAAUGCUAAUACCGCAUACGUCCUACGGGAGAAAGCAGGGGAUCUUCGGACCUUGCGCUAAAUGAUGAGCCUAAGUCGGAUUAGCUAGUUGGUGGGGUAAAGGCAUACCAAGGCGACGAUCUGUAGCGGGUCUGAGAGGAUGAUCCGCCACACAGGGACUGAGAAACGGCCCAGAGUCCUACGGGAGGCAGCAGUGGGGAAUAUUGGACAAUGGGCGGAAGCCUGAUCCAGCCAUGCCGCGUGUGUGAAGAAGGCCUUUUGGUUGUAAAGCACUUUAAGCGAGGAGGAGGCUACUAGUACUAAUACUACUGGAUAGUGGACGUUACUCGCAGAAUAAGCACCGGCUAACUCUGUGCCAGCCGCCGCAGUAAAAC
rnacentral:rRNA from 1 species